AGAAAAGAAAUAAAUACAAGAUUUAUUUAUUGUCUUUUCAGUGUGUCUUAUGUCAUUUAACAUGUAGGCAAUAUCAGACAUUCAUCUCUUACUUCUGCAGAAGCACUGAUGAUGAUAUGCCGUUAUUCUUAAUUUAGGUUUUUAAUGUCAGCAUGCAAAAAAUAAAAUAAAAUAAAAUAAAAAGAUGAUUGGCAGUGUGCAGGAUUUAUUUAUAUUUGUUAUUGUUGUUUCUUAUAUGAUCAUGCAGAAAGACUAAUCAAAGUGAAACCAGAGCACGGGGAUGGGAUGUGCAUUGGAAUAAAAAAAAAACAAGAUAUGCCCUCAGAUGUUUGAAAAUCAACCAGAUGAGUUGUUCAAAAUUAAGUUUUUCUAAACUACAUAUUGCAGCUUGAAUGCAUUAAAGUGUUGAUAUUUUAUUUUAGGCAAUAUGAGCUUUUGAUGCUCCUGAAAAAAUAAAUAAAAACCCAGUUUUAUUGAGCUAAUUUAUUUUAUUUGGGUCAUUUGAGGUUAAACAAUCAUCUUUUAGACACUGAUCUGAGAUCAGGCUUUGCUUCCCAAAUUUAAAUCCAAAUCAAGAAACAGAGGAGGACGCCAAACUGACCCAAGGCCAGCUGUUAGGAGCAGAUCUCCCUUGACCCCCUCUGUGGCCAUCCUCAGAAUGGAUCCUUUGUGCCAGGGCCCUGCGGGUGCCCCAGCACGUCGGUUUUAGCUUUCACCGACAUGAACCUCAGCCAGUAGGACCAUCAUCUGCUCAUAGAUGGGAAGUGAGCAAACGGGAAGGAAUAGCUCAUAUCUGCAGGAGAAAUUCCUUCAUGAAAUGCUCCGCUAUGGCUGAGAUUUCCUAAUAAAGUCCGGCACUAGAACAUCUGAGAGCUCUGUUUUCAUGGAAGGCUUCACUGGCUUUGGAAGGAAAGAAGAACAGGGAAACCACCUUGGGUGCAACAGCAGGAUCAGGUGACCUGCAGGGAUUGGCACAACUGGGGCCUUCCCAUGAACUCUGACGCGUCACGCCCACAACAGACCACCAGGUGGCGCACCUGAGCAUUCGAAGUGAGGCACUGAGGUUUGUGGAGUGUCAAAAUUCGGAUAAAGCCUCAAUAUCGAGGCGCUUAUGUUCUAAUCUGAGCUGAAGACACAAAUGCAUACAGAAGUAUUAAAAAUGUAAUAUAGCAAGAGUAAAAAAGUAUAUAUAUUAAUGUUUUGCACUAUUUCUGUUUUAUUUAAAUUCAUUCUUAAGUCUUGAGGAGAAACUCAAAAUGUAUUUGCACUAAUGACCACCAGGUGGAGCCAUUGCAGUUCCUAAUAUUCAAGCUUCAUUCCCUGGACGUCCUGAUGGAAUAAUACGUACAACGCCCCAAACUUUUUCAUCCUGCAUAUCUAAAGAAAAUCCAACUUUGACUUAUUCUCACAUCUCCACAUGCACUAAAAGCUAUAAACAUUUCUAUUUUAAACCUUUUUCUCUUUGUUUCUGCAGUGCGCAUCUCUCUUUCGAAAACUUAUCAAAAUGACAAUUAUUGUAUCCUUGGAAAGAAAAAAAAGACUGAAAAAUCCUUUGUAUGGCCUCAUUCCUUUGAGUUUUACUCAGCAGUGCUUUGAGCUGUCUUCAGGUUGAUGUAAGUCCCAAACAAAAGCAGCAAGAUCCUCAAGCAGUGUGGGGAGGAGGAAAAAAAUAUCCAUCAGA